GACGAACGCUGGCGGCGUGCUUAACACAUGCAAGUCGAACGGAAAGGCCCUGCUUUUGUGGGGUGCUCGAUUGGCGAACGGGUGAGUAACACGUGAGUAACCUGCCCUUGACUUUGGGAUAACUUCAGGAAACUGGGGCUAAUACCGGAUAGGAUCUCCUGCUGCAUGGUGGGGGUUGGAAAGUUUCGGCGGUUGGGGAUGGACUCGCGGCUUAUCAGCUUGUUUGUGGGGUAGUGGCUUACCAAGGCUUUGACGGGUAGCCGGCCUGAGAGGGUGACCGGCCACAUUGGGACUGAGAUACGGACCAGACUCCUACGGGAGGCAGCAGUGGGGAAUAUUGCACAAUGGGCGGAAGCCUGAUGCAGCAACGCCGCGUGCGGGAUGACGGCCUUCGGGUUGUAAACCGCUUUCGCCUGUGACGAAGCGUGAGUGACGGUAAUGGGUAAAGAAGCACCGGCUAACUACGUG
rnacentral:rRNA from 1 species